GGGUUGUGAGGUUAAGCGACUAAGCGUACACGGUGGAUGCCCUGGCAGUCAGAGGCGAUGAAGGACGUGCUAAUCUGCGAAAAGCGUCGGUAAGGUGAUAUGAACCGUUAUAACCGGCGAUGUCCGAAUGGGGAAACCCAGUGCAAUUCGUUGCACUAUCGUUAACUGAAUACAUAGGUUAACGAGGCGAACCGGGGGAACUGAAACAUCUAAGUACCCCGAGGAAAAGAAAUCAACCGAGAUUCCCCCAGUAGCGGCGAGCGAACGGGGAGCAGCCCAGAGUCUGAAUCAGCUUGUGUGUUAGUGGAACGGUCUGGAAAGUCCGACGGUACAGGGUGAUAGUCCCGUACACCAAAAUGCACAGGUUGUGAACUCGAAGAGUAGGGCGGGACACGUGGUAUCCUGUCUGAAUAUGGGGGGACCAUCCUCCAAGGCUAAAUACUCCUGACUGACCGAUAGUGAACCAGUACCGUGAGGGAAAGGCGAAAAGAACCCCGGCGAGGGGAGUGAAAAAGAACCUGAAACCGUGUACGUACAAGCAGUGGGAGCACCUUCGGGUGUGACUGCGUACCUUUUGUAUAAUGGGUCAGCGACUUAUAUUCUGUAGCAAGGUUAACCGUAUAGGGGAGCCGCAGGGAAACCGAGUCUUAACUGGGCGUUAAGUUGCAGGGUAUAGACCCGAAACCCGGUGAUCUAGCCAUGGGCAGGUUGAAGGUUGGGUAACACUAACUGGAGGACCGAACCGACUAAUGUUGAAAAAUUAGCGGAUGACUUGUGGCUGGGGGUGAAAGGCCAAUCAAACCGGGAGAUAGCUGGUUCUCCCCGAAAGCUAUUUAGGUAGCGCCUCGUGAACUCAUCUUCGGGGGUAGAGCACUGUUUCGGCUAGGGGGUCAUCCCGACUUACCAACCCGAUGCAAACUACGAAUACCGAAGAAUGUUAUCACGGGAGACACACGGCGGGUGCUAACGUCCGUCGUGAAGAGGGAAACAACCCAGACCGCCAGCUAAGGUCCCAAAGUCAUGGUUAAGUGGGAAACGAUGUGGGAAGGCACAGACAGCCAGGAUGUUGGCUUAGAAGCAGCCAUCAUUUAAAGAAAGCGUAAUAGCUCACUGGUCGAGUCGGCCUGCGCGGAAGAUGUAACGGGGCUAAACCAUGCACCGAAGCUGCGGCAGCGACACUAUGUGUUGUUGGGUAGGGGAGCGUUCUGUAAGCCUGCGAAGGUGACCUGUGAGGGUUGCUGGAGGUAUCAGAAGUGCGAAUGCUGACAUAAGUAACGAUAAAGCGGGUGAAAAGCCCGCUCGCCGGAAGACCAAGGGUUCCUGUCCAACGUUAAUCGGGGCAGGGUGAGUCGACCCCUAAGGCGAGGCCGAAAGGCGUAGUCGAUGGGAAACAGGUUAAUAUUCCUGUACUUGGUGUUACUGCGAAGGGGGGACGGAGAAGGCUAUGUUAGCCGGGCGACGGUUGUCCCGGUUUAAGCAUGUAGGCUGGUUAUCCAGGCAAAUCCGGAUAAUCAAGGCUGAGGUGUGAUGACGAGGCACUACGGUGCUGAAGUAACAAAUGCCCUGCUUCCAGGAAAAGCCUCUAAGCAUCAGGUAACAUCAAAUCGUACCCCAAACCGACACAGGUGGUCAGGUAGAGAAUACCAAGGCGCUUGAGAGAACUCGGGUGAAGGAACUAGGCAAAAUGGUGCCGUAACUUCGGGAGAAGGCACGCUGGUGUGUAGGUGAAGUCCCUGCGGAUGGAGCUGAGACCAGUCGAAGAUACCAGCUGGCUGCAACUGUUUAUUAAAAACACAGCACUGUGCAAACACGAAAGUGGACGUAUACGGUGUGACGCCUGCCCGGUGCCGGAAGGUUAAUUGAUGGGGUUAUCCGUAAGGAGAAGCUCUUGAUCGAAGCCCCGGUAAACGGCGGCCGUAACUAUAACGGUCCUAAGGUAGCGAAAUUCCUUGUCGGGUAAGUUCCGACCUGCACGAAUGGCGUAAUGAUGGCCAGGCUGUCUCCACCCGAGACUCAGUGAAAUUGAACUCGCUGUGAAGAUGCAGUGUACCCGCGGCAAGACGGAAAGACCCCGUGAACCUUUACUAUAGCUUGACACUGAACAUUGAGCCUUGAUGUGUAGGAUAGGUGGGAGGCUUUGAAGCGUGGACGCCAGUCUGCGUGGAGCCAACCUUGAAAUACCACCCUUUAAUGUUUGAUGUUCUAACGUUGGCCCCUGACCGGGGUUGCGGACAGUGUCUGGUGGGUAGUUUGACUGGGGCGGUCUCCUCCCAAAGCGUAACGGAGGAGCACGAAGGUUAGCUAAUCCUGGUCGGACAUCAGGAGGUUAGUGCAAUGGCAUAAGCUAGCUUGACUGCGAGCGUGACGGCGCGAGCAGGUGCGAAAGCAGGUCAUAGUGAUCCGGUGGUUCUGAAUGGAAGGGCCAUCGCUCAACGGAUAAAAGGUACUCCGGGGAUAACAGGCUGAUACCGCCCAAGAGUUCAUAUCGACGGCGGUGUUUGGCACCUCGAUGUCGGCUCAUCACAUCCUGGGGCUGAAGUAGGUCCCAAGGGUAUGGCUGUUCGCCAUUUAAAGUGGUACGCGAGCUGGGUUUAGAACGUCGUGAGACAGUUCGGUCCCUAUCUGCCGUGGGCGCUGGAGAAUUGAGGGGGGCUGCUCCUAGUACGAGAGGACCGGAGUGGACGCAUCACUGGUGUUCGGGUUGUCAUGCCAAUGGCACUGCCCGGUAGCUAAAUGCGGAAGAGAUAAGUGCUGAAAGCAUCUAAGCACGAAACUUGCCCCGAGAUGAGUUCUCCCUGAGAC
rnacentral:rRNA from 1 species